rnacentral:lncRNA from 1 species
UAAAACUUUCAUCUUCACAAGCCAAAAAAACAUCUACUUUCUUUUUGAAAACAAACAAACAAUUUGUUGCUAACAUAUAAAGCCACGUUUCUUGUGGCUUUGGGAAGCUAUAAAUUUCAGCAACAAGAGAAAUGAAAAAGGACAUUUUGAAAAGAUGAAGAAAUAGAAGAUUCACUGUACCAACACGUUUAAGGGAGACCAAACAAGUGUUGAAAUGGUAGUAAUCAGCUCUACUCCUUUUCAUUAUCACUGGACCCGGUCUUGAAGAAAGGCCACAUGAGAAGAAGCCCUCCAAAGCAUCCUAAUUCCUGAUGGUGACAAGACUUCAGGAUUCAACUCUGUUAUCUUCUCCU